AGUAAGCGUAUACCAAAGUUGUUGCAGUUAAAACGCUCGUAGUCGGAAUUUGGCAGUUCCGGAUGUGUGCACGUCGUGUGCGCACUUCGCGGGGAUUGCUUUUGUGGUCUUGCGUAGGAUGAGGCACUUUUAUUAGUGAACGUCCUCACGCAACCACUUUUUACUGUGAGAAAAUCAGAGUGCUCAAAGCAGGCAUUUGCCAUGAAUGUAUUAGCAUGGAAUAAUAGAAUAGGACUUGGUUCUAUUUUGUUGGUUUGUUGGGACUGAGUAAUGAUUAAGAGGGACAGUUGGGGGCAUUUGUAUUUCGGUGCUAGAGGUGAAAUUCUUAGAUUACCGAAAGACAAACUGCUGCGAAAGCGUCUGCCAAGGAUGUUUUCAUUGA
rnacentral:rRNA from 1 species